AAGGCAACUUUUCUGGCGAUUGC
rnacentral:siRNA from 1 species